rnacentral:rRNA from 2 species
UAGGGAAUCUUCGGCAAUGGACGAAAGUCUGACCGAGCAACGCCGCGUGAGUGAAGAAGGUUUUCGGAUCGUAAAACUCUGUUGUUAGAGAAGAACAAGGACGUUAGUAACUGAACGUCCCCUGACGGUAUCUAACCAGAAAGCCACGGCUAACUACGUGCCAGCAGCCGCGGUAAUACGUAGGUGGCAAGCGUUGUCCGGAUUUAUUGGGCGUAAAGCGAGCGCAGGCGGUUUCUUAAGUCUGAUGUGAAAGCCCCCGGCUCAACCGGGGAGGGUCAUUGGAAACUGGGAGACUUGAGUGCAGAAGAGGAGAGUGGAAUUCCAUGUGUAGCGGUGAAAUACGUAGAUAUAUGGAGGAACACCAGUGGCGAAGGCGGCUCUCUGGUCUGUAACUGACGCUGAGGCUCGAAAGCGUGGGGAGCAAACAGG